rnacentral:rRNA from 1 species
UACGGGAGGGUGCAAGCGUUAUCCGGAUUCACUGGGUUUAAAGGGUGCGUAGGCGGGUUGGUAAGUCCGUGGUGAAAUCCCCAAGCUUAACUUGGGAACUGCCGUGGAUACUAUCAAUCUUGAAUAUCGUGGAGGUAAGCGGAAUAUGUCAUGUAGCGGUGAAAUGCUUAGAUAUGACAUAGAACACCAAUUGCGUAGGCAGCUUACUACACGAUCAUUGACGCUGAGGCACGAAAGCGUGGGGAGCAAACAGG